CAUGAAUUGGCUUUAUUGUAUAAUUUUAAAGCUGCAGGCCUGAAGCCCCCACUUCCUAGGGAAGCAAAAGGGAGAGGUGAAGAAGGUGCAACAUGCAUGUGAGAGUAACAUCUCAACAGAUGUGCUUAAUGCAAAAUUUCACUACGUGUCUAAUUGUAAUCCUGGUUCAGUCAAGAAGGCAGUUUCCUUGAAGCAACAACCAACCCCUUUGGAAAACUACCAUUAAUCUAUUGCCCACACGCAUCGAAACCUCAUGAGCUUGCAAGUCCAUAUAACGUCAACUUCUUGCUUCUCUAUGGUCCUAACCUGAAUCUUCCAAGUCUUCAAGUCUGAGCACACAAGCAAAGCAAACCAAAGCGGAGAAAACAAAGAAGAAAAAAGUGGGUGAAAAUAAAAAAAGGCAAAAGAGAAAGUAAUAAAAUAUUCCCCCCCUUUCUUCUCCUACAGUUUUCAAGUCUCCAAAAUUAGACUUGAACAUAAUUGAGUUCUAUUUCUGGAUGCCCAAAAAAGUUGGGAGCUAACAGGGAAAGGGUCAGAGAUGGGUGCUUUGUCUAUUGUUUCUCUGCUUCCUUUAAAGCGAAGACCAUCUGUGUUUGAGCAGAACAGCCCUCUCUGCCCCUCCAGAAGAAAACCCAAGAAGAGAAUUAGUCCUGUGGCAAGAUUAUUUGGGCCAUCGAUUUUUGAGGCUUCAAAGUUGAAGGUGUUGUUUGUAGGGGUUGAUGAGGAGAAGCAUCCGGCGAAGCUGCCGAGGACUUAUACACUAACACAUAGUGAUAUUACUGCUAGGCUUACUUUAGCCAUCUCACAGACAAUAAAUAAUUCUCAGUUGCAGGGAUGGUCCAACAAAUUGUACAGAGAUGAAGUUGUGGCAGAAUGGAAGAAAGUGAAGGGAAAGAUGUCUCUUCAUGUUCAUUGUCAUAUAAGUGGAGGCCAUUUUUUAUUAGAUUUAUGUGCAAGGCUCAGAUAUUACAUCUUCUGCAAAGAACUCCCUGUGGUGUUGAAGGCCUUUGUCCAUGGAGAUGGGAAUUUGUUGAACAGCUACCCAGAAUUGCAGGAAGCUUUGGUAUGGGUUUAUUUCCAUUCAAACAUUCCAGAAUUCAACAGGGUAGGGUGUUGGGGCCCAUUAAAGGAUGCUGGAGCACCUUCUUCUUCUGGGGUGUAUGAGGAUGGGCCCCAUGAAAGCAAGCAGCAGGCAACCCCAGCAAGUAAUUGGAACUUGCCCGAGCCAUGUAAUGAGAACUGCGAGUGUUGUUUCCCACCAAUGAGCUUAAUCCCUUGGUCACAAAAGCCCCUCAUAGCUACUGAAAGUAGUGGAGGGACCCGACAGAGCUUUCAACAAGCAGCUCCAAAACCCUAAAUCGUUGGUCCAUUUGUGCCUUGAUGCGUGAUAUUUGCCUCAUUGUUUUAUGUCAGAACUCAGAAGGUGGUGCUCAUGUAUAUAACUGUGUAAACUGUGAUAUAUAUAUGUGUGUGAGAGAGAGACAGAAAUUGCAUGCCUGAUGCCUCCCUUGCUAUUCAAUGAUUUGGGAGUAUAUUUAAUAUUUGUAUUUUUUUAAUAAUUUAAUUUAAAAAUUGAAUAGAAAUUAUAAAUACUUGUAAACA
rnacentral:misc_RNA from 1 species